rnacentral:rRNA from 2 species
AACUGCGAAUGGCUCAUUAAAUCAGUUAUCGUUUAUUUGAUAGUACCUUACUACUUGGAUAACCGUGGUAAUUCUAGAGCUAAUACAUGCUAAAAACCCCAACUUCGGAAGGGGUGUAUUUAUUAGAUAAAAAACCAAUGCCCUUCGGGGCUCUUUGGUGAUUCAUGAUAACUUCUCAGAUCGCAUGGCCUUGCGCCGGCGACGGUUCAUUCAAAUUUCUGCCCUAUCAACUUUCGAUGGUAAGGUAUUGGCUUACCAUGGUUUCAACGGGUAACGGGGAAUUAGGGUUCGAUUCCGGAGAGGGAGCCUGAGAAACGGCUACCACAUCCAAGGAAGGCAGCAGGCGCGCAAAUUACCCAAUCCCGACACGGGGAGGUAGUGACAAUAAAUACUGAUACAGGGCUCUUUUGGGUCUUGUAAUUGGAAUGAGUACAAUUUAAACCUCUUAACGAGGAACAAUUGGAGGGCAAGUCUGGUGCCAGCAGCCGCGGUAAUUCCAGCUCCAAUAGCGUAUAUUAAAGUUGUUGCAGUUAAAAAGCUCGUAGUUGAACCUUGGGCCUGGCUGGCAGGUCCGCCUCACCGCGUGUACUUGACCGGCCGGGCCUUCUCUUCUGGAGAACCUCAUGCCCUUUACUGGGCGUGUUGGGGACCAGGACUUUUACUUUGAAAAAAUUAGAGUGUUCAAAGCAGGCCUUUGCUCGAAUAUGUUAGCAUGGAAUAAUAGAAUAGGACGUGCGGUCCUAUUUUGUUGGUUUCUAGGACCGCCGUAAUGAUUAAUAGGGACAGUCGGGGGCAUCAGUAUUCAAUUGUCAGAGGUGAAAUUCUUGGAUUUAUUGAAGACUAACUACUGCGAAAGCAUUUGCCAAGGAUGUUUUCAUUAAUCAGUGAACGAAAGUUAGGGGAUCGAAGACGAUCAGAUACCGUCGUAGUCUUAACCAUAAACUAUGCCGACUAGGGAUCGGGCGAUGUUUCAAUAUUGACUCGCUCGGCACCUUACGAGAAAUCAAAGUGU